rnacentral:rRNA from 1 species
AUUGAACGCUGGCGGCAUGCCUUACACAUGCAAGUCGAACGGCAGCGGACCUUCGGGUGCCGGCGAGUGGCGAACGGGUGAGUAAUGCAUCGGAACGUGCCAUUGAGUGGGGGAUAACGUAGCGAAAGUUACGCUAAUACCGCAUAUUCUGUGAGCAGGAAAGCAGGGGACCGCAAGGCCUUGCGCUCUUUGAGCGGCCGAUGUCAGAUUAGCUAGUUGGUGAGGUAAAGGCUUACCAAGGCGACGAUCUGUAGCGGGUCUGAGAGGAUGAUCCGCCACACUGGAACUGAGACACGGUCCAGACUCCUACGGGAGGCAGCAGUGGGGAAUUUUGGACAAUGGGCGAAAGCCUGAUCCAGCCAUGCCGCGUGAGUGAAGAAGGCCU